ACGGGUGAGUAACGCGUAGGUAACCUGCCUGGUAGCGGGGGAUAACUAUUGGAAACGAUAGCUAAUACCGCAUAAGAACAUUUACUGCAUGGUAGAUGUUUAAAAGGUGCAAAUGCAUCACUACCAGAUGGACCUGCGUCGUAUUAGCUAGUAGGUGAGGUAACGGCUCACCUAGGCGACGAUACAUAGCCGACCUGAGAGGGUGAUCGGCCACACUGGGACUGAGACACGGCCCAGACUCCUACGGGAGGCAGCAGUAGGGAAUCUUCGGCAAUGGGGGGAACCCUGACCGAGCAACGCCGCGUGAGUGAAGAAGGUUUUCGGAUCGUAAAGCUCUGUUGUUAAGGAAGAACGAGUGUGAGAAUGGAAAGUUCAUACUGUGACGGUACUUAACCAGAAAGGGACGGCUAACUACGUGCCAGCAGCCGCGGUAAUACGUAGGUCCCGAGCGUUGUCCGGAUUUAUUGGGCGUAAAGCGAGCGCAGGCGGUUAGAUAAGUCUGAAGUUAAAGGCAGUGGCUCAACCAUUGUAGGCUUUGGAAACUGUUUAACUUGAGUGCAGAAGGGGAGAGUGGAAUUCCAUGUGUAGCGGUGAAAUGCGUAGAUAUAUGGAGGAACACCGGUGGCGAAAGCGGCUCUCUGGUCUGUAACUGACGCUGAGGCUCGAAAGCGUGGGGAGCGAACAGGAUUAGAUACCCUGGUAGUCCACGCCGUAAACGAUGAGUGCUAGGUGUUAGGUCCUUUCCGGGACUUAGUGCCGCAGCUAACGCAUUAAGCACUCCGCCUGG
rnacentral:rRNA from 1 species